AGCGCUGGUGGCAGUGUUUCUGCGCAGAGCCCUGCAGCUGAGGGGAGGGCACAGCCGUGCUGCCCCAGGAAUUCCGGUCUGAAGGGCCAGAUGCGAGGCCUCUGGAUGCGGCACCCUAAGGACAAGGGAAACUACAUGAAGCACAAAGGAAGAGAUAUCAUCCUGCAAGCCUUGGUUCUGGAAUUCUGAGGCUUUGGAACAUGAUGACUCCAUUGUCACUUUUCUGGAUUUAUCAGUAUAUGUGCAGUGGUUGGUUACUGUGAGUUUAGUGACUGGCAUGCAAUAUGGAGGCCAAACCGGGCUCAAGAGUGACUGAAAACAAGCCCAGCGGGAAGGACACCA